rnacentral:rRNA from 1 species
GUGGGGAAUUUUGGACAAUGGGCGCAAGCCUGAUCCAGCAAUGCCGCGUGCAGGAAGAAGGCCUUCGGGUUGUAAACUGCUUUUGUACGGAACGAAAAGGCUCUGGUUAAUACCUGGGGCUCAUGACGGUACCGUAAGAAUAAGCACCGGCUAACUACGUGCCAGCAGCCGCGGUAAUACGUAGGGUGCAAGCGUUAAUCGGAAUUACUGGGCGUAAAGCGUGCGCAGGCGGUUUUGUAAGACAGACGUGAAAUCCCCGGGCUCAACCUGGGAAUGGCGUUUGUGAAUGCAAAGCUGGAGUGCGGCAGAGGGGGAUGGAAUUCCGCGUGUAGCAGUGAAAUGCGUAGAUAUGCGGAGGAACACCGAUGGCGAAGGCAAUCCCCUGGGCCUGCACUGACGCUCAUGCACGAAAGCGUGGGGAGCAAACAGGAUUAGAAACCCCGGUAGUCC